CACACCAAUAGUUGCAAAAAUAAAGAUGAUGAUGCCGACAAUGAGGAUAAUUACAUUGUUGAACCCCCAAGCAAGGAGAAGAACCUUCUCAUAGAAUACACUUGACAGUUCUGAAUGGGCAAGACUGAGGGCCCAUAGACGAAGGUAAGAUGCUGUGUUUGAGACUGCUCCAAGCACAAACUCAAUGGUAUGUAUCAACUGAUGUACAAAAACUUCACUGAAUUCAAAUUCUUCAUGACCAUGGGAAUCAUGAUUCACCUCCACUUG
rnacentral:misc_RNA from 1 species